rnacentral:lncRNA from 1 species
GUCCAGUUUUAUUGUAUGUCUGUGUCCAUAUUAAAGUCAGUCACAACCUUUUUAGAUUCUUUAAAAUUUAACAUUUUGGAGCAAAGCUGUUAGAUCUAGCUUUCUUAUCAGCAAAAAAAAUUUUGAAGCAAAACUCCAUAUUGAGUUUGGAAUAUAAGAUUGGAUGACACUUUACUUUGUUCUUUUUAAAGCUAUUUUUUUUAAUCAUUAGAUACACAACACAGAUGAGAAUAUGUUGCCUUACUGGCUAACUUGAAAGAGAUCUGUCUAGUUUAAAGCAUAUCACCAAAAAUGUUUUUAUUAAAUAAAGACCUGUUUUGUGAACACAAGUAUUUCAUUCUUCAUGAGCUUAUCUAUGGAAGCGAUUGUGUAGCAUAAAUAAAAAUAAAAGUGCUUUUUUUAUUUUCAAAAUGAAGCUGCAUUUUUUGACUCAAAAUUAAAAUGAAAAAGCAAUCCACCAAAAUGCUUUUUCAUUUCCUUCCUUAACACAGCUUUUUCUGUCACUUAAUUAAAAUUAAAAUUAAAAUGGUAUUUGACAUUUCAUUUUCAAAAAGUUAUUGUUAGGUACCAGGAGGGGCCAGGGCGGCCGUUAUUGUGUUUGAUUCACUUCCUGUUUUCCGGUUCUGGUCACUAGUUACACUCGUUGUCUUUACCUCAUUGAUUGUUUUUACCUGUUUACACACCUGUUUCCACUUUAGUCACUGUAUAUAUUCUUUGUCCACCCAGUCAUUGUCACAGGAUCGUUUCGUUUGUUUGUACUCUCACGAGAAUAGUCGAUUAAAUUCGAGUUAUACGUAUCCGCUGGCGUAUGAGGGGCCGUAUAAGACAUUAUUUAUUCUGAACCAUUCACAUUCAUACAUUCUUGCUCUCACAUUCAUAUGUACUCUCUUUCGCAUACAUAUACUCUUUUACGCAUACAUAUAUUCUCACUUGCACAUCCAUAUAUUCUCACUUGCACUUACAUGUAUUCUCACUUGCCCAUCCAUAUAUUCUCUAUCUCGCAU